UAAGGAAUAUUGGUCAAUGGAGGCAACUCUGAACCAGCCAUGCCGCGUGCAGGAAGACGGCCCUCUGGGUUGUAAACUGCUUUUAUUCGGGAAUAAACCUAUCUACGUGUAGAUAGCUGAAUGUACCGAAGGAAUAAGGAUCGGCUAACUCCGUGCCAGCAGCCGCGGUAAUACGGAGGAUCCAAGCGUUAUCCGGAUUUAUUGGGUUUAAAGGGUGCGUAGGCGGCCUAUUAAGUCAGGGGUGAAAGACGGUAGCUCAACUAUCGCAGUGCCCUUGAUACUGAUGAGCUUGAAUGAACUAGAGGUAGGCGGAAUGUGACAAGUAGCGGUGAAAUGCAUAGAUAUGUCACAGAACACCGAUUGCGAAGGCAGCUUACUAUGGUUUUAUAGACGCUGAGGCACGAAAGCGUGGGGAACAAACA
rnacentral:rRNA from 1 species